rnacentral:rRNA from 1 species
GAUGAACGCUGGCGGCGUGCCUAAUACAUGCAAGUCGAGCGAACGGACGAGAAGCUUGCUUCUCUGAUGUUAGCGGCGGACGGGUGAGUAACACGUGGAUAACCUACCUAUAAGACUGGGAUAACUUCGGGAAACCGUAGCUAAUACCGGAUAAUAUUUUGAACCGCAUGGUUCAAAAGUGAAAGACGGUCUUGCUGUCACUUAUAGAUGGAUCCGCGCUGCAUUAGCUAGUUGGUAAGGUAACGGCUUACCAAGGCAACGAUGCAUAGCCGACCUGAGAGGGUGAUCGGUCACACUGGAACUGAGACACGGUCCAGACUCCUACGGGAGGCAGCAGUAGGGAAUCUUCCGCAAUGGGCGAAAGCCUGACGGAGCAACGCCGCGUGAGUGAUGAAGGUCUUCGGAUCGUAAAACUCUGUUAUUAGGGAAGAACAUAUGUGUAAGUAACUGUGCACAUCUUGACGGUACCUAAUCAGAAGGCCACGGCUAACUACG